CUAAAUAAAUACAAGUGUGCUGACAGUACAGCAACUCGAUUUUGAAAUCAUAACCUACUCAAAAUUUGCGUAGGGUUUUAUGGCUGCCUUGGCUGGUUAUGAUUUCAAAAUCAAGUUGCUGUAUUGUCAGCACACUUGUAUUUAUUUAG
rnacentral:miRNA from 1 species